AAUAUAAUUCUUUUGUCAAUUCAAUUCACCACCUGGAUUUGUAAAUAGUGAAAGUGUUAUGGAUUCAAGUUAAGUUUUACUGGCCCCAGAAAAUGGGAACGUUUCUUAUAUUGGUGACCACAAAUAAACAUGAUUACACUCUAUUCAGCAUUUUUUACUGCAUCGUAGACCAAAAUUGUUCCUGAAGCCUUGCAUGGUUGACCGAACUCAUUUCAUUUGGUAUUGAAGUCACCUAUGAGGUGCUAUCCCUCAUCUGAACUCUGGAUGUGGAUUGUCAAUAGACUGGAUGCUACAAGAAUAG
rnacentral:lncRNA from 1 species